CACAUAUAUAAAAAACUUGGCCCCAGAUCUUACUUCACACUUAUGGUCUUAUCUAAACCAAGCAUACUAUAAAGCGUGAGUACAUGAGUCAUGAGCUACAUGACCUCAAUUUGGAGUUCAUAACUUAUGGAAUGGGAUUCCGACUACUGAAUGAACUGAAACUUCUCAUUUUGGAUCUUGAAGAGUACAUGAUUCUCUAUCAUAAGCAUGAACAUGAAUUUUGAUCAUUGGACUGAAGCGUAAGGCAUGAGUAGAUAUUGGGAUGACUGGAAAAAAAAUAUUGAGAUAAGAAUGAGUUGACUCUCACCCUCACUUUCUGACGUUCUAUAUCAUCAUGACAUCACGACUAGAAUCUGAUAUCCUGACUUGGUUAUUUGCUCUAUCAUCUCCCCCUUAGCUUUAAGCCAUCAUAUUAAGUUUGGGGAGAUCCCUUACUAGACUCUAAAUUGAAGUACACUCAUUGCACUCUGGGGUCUGGAAAACUACUAUACACGCAUAUCAUAGCACAUAACCCGAAUAACUACACCUGAAAGUGGAAAACCCAUUGUCAAUACUACCUUCUGAGAUACACUUUAUCAUUCUAUAGACCCAGCAGUCAUCAUAUAAUACUUGCACACUUACUAACUUCGGGUCUUCAUGAGUAUCCCCAUAGUCGGAGUGCACACCCUCUAGUGCUUUAACUCUUAUUUCUAUUAGUUCAACCUUCAAAAACUCAAACUUAAAAUCUAGCACUCAACAUGGAUAUCACCAAGCCUUCAAUGAAUCAUACUACUUCCGACAUAGCCUACCAAUAUUGCGACUCCAAACUUACAUCUCUCUACUAUGAGAAUCAAGAUCACAGAAAAAGGCUCAACACUAUUAAUCAAAACUCCUUAACUUGGCUAUUUAGAAUACCAUAUACCAUCUAACUAGUCUUUCUCCACCUAACAACUCAACGGUACCACUCGUCACACAAAACGUGUAAUAGUCUUAGAAAAUAUCGCAACCUCAGAUCACCUUGGGCAUACUUCUACAUUAUAUAUGCAACAUCAUACUUCACUACGAAUCAAAUAAACUUAGGCUCUUGCAUAUACCAUUCAAGCCUAUUAGAUUACUUCCAUAAAACUAGUAUCAUUAACCAAGAAAUCAUCACAUCCACCUUCAUGGACGUCAAUUGUUCAAACUUAAUGUCUAGUGCUAAACAUGAUUUACAACCCAACCUUAUACAUAAUUCUUACAAAACAUACAUCAUUAAUCUUAAGUCACUAUUUUUACAACCACAUUGUGACGCUCAACAUCACAACCCAUUAAACUCCUCACGUUUUGGGCAUGUUUCGAACUAUUCGGGCGC
rnacentral:lncRNA from 1 species